UAGGCUGAGAGAUACAAGUUUCUGACCUGU
rnacentral:piRNA from 2 species